UUUCUGCUGUUCCUGACGAGGUGACCAAUAUUAAAUUCAACAGUUGAUAAAAUAAGCAAAUUAUCAAUGCAAAGAAAAACAAAAGAAAAACAAUUAGAAUUGAUACAAAUGAGCCACAAAUUAUAAUAAAUUAUCAAAGAUUGAUCAUUGGAGGAGCUUUUCUAAUCUAUGUAUCAUCACAAUGAAUAACACCAACUUGCAACCAUGAUGAUAACAUGAAGGUUCCAAAGGAAUUUGGAACAUGAGAAAGCUUUUUCAGUUUCCAUGGUGCAAACAAAUAAGAGAGUUAAAUGAGUUAAGGUGAUGAAUUAUGCUGUUAGAAUGCAUUUGGAAUCUGAACGAAUAUACCCAAGAAUAUGAAGAAGAAAUCAGAUUAACAGUUUCCUUUCAAAUGAAUGGUAACGAAUAACUAACAGAUUUUUAUUUCUCAUUCUUUUUCUUAUUCUGGAGUUAUCUUCAUCACCUCAUCAUUUUGACCAAUCCAAAUGUUGAUCAUUUCUAUUGUAUUAUAUAAGCAUUUGGAUGUUACAUCAUUCAUCUUGUAAUAAGAUAGAUUAGCUUUUCGUAAAGAUUUUCUUCACCAAGACAAGCUUCUUAAAAGAUUCGGUUGUAUAACUUAAUGAAAAAGUUUGAAGGGUGGACAGUGAGGACAUUAAUUAUGGACGAAAACGAUCAAAUGUAAAUUCUUACCGUUCUUAUGGUGUCGAGUAAACUUUCAGCACUAUGAGCUAUCCUGCUGAGACUGGUUGAACUUAGACCGGAGGGAAGAGCCGUUGAUCGACCUGUCGUUUGCCGUCUUAUUGUCUCAUAAAUUGCUGAUGUUGAUGGAGCUCGAGGAGAGUAGAGAAAAGCGAAGAAGAAGAUAAAAUAACACAAAGGUGGAGAAGCAAAACAGAAGACAGGUAUGGACAAUAACGAAGAGGAUGAAAAGAAAAUUUAUCACAUUCACCGAAUAAUUUUGACAAAGUCCAGGUAAACAGAUGAAAUUGUCAAUAAUAAACAACAGAGGAAUGAGAAGACACCAAAGUAAUGAGGAAGAAGAAGCAGAUAAAGGAUAAAAAUGGAAAGGAAAUGAAGAAAAAGAUCAUCAUCUCUAUCGAUUUAUCUAUUGAUUAAUCAACAAUCAACAAUCACCAAAUAACCAGAACAAUUUACAUAUAAAUUGGAAAGCGAGAAGAUUUUGAAACAAUUCUAAUUGUCAAAGUGAUUGAUUUUCUUGUUGUUCAUGUUGAUGAGACUAAGAUGAUGCACAACAAUUAAAACACACUGAAAGUGGAUUAAAACUCGAGAAAGGAUAAAAUUGUGAUGAUGGAUUAAAAGAACAACGAAAACAUGGAAUUAAAAAGACAAAUGGAACAUUUAAUCCAAUUUGAUGGUAACAAUUAAAAGAGAAAAACAAAAGACUAACAACAAUUAAAAGAUUCUAAUAGACGAUCGUUAAAUGUCAAUGGUCCUCAAUUAAUUGCUUAAUAUUGAUCACAAUUUAAUUUUCUUUUUUUUAUAAUGCUGAUUGUUGUUUACAGUUAUCAUUGUGUAAUCAACAAUUGUCCAGUACAUAGUUUGUAAUCAUAAAGAGCAGCUUAUCGUGAUAAUAAUCAUUUUGAUGGUCAUCAUCAUGUUAAUCAUCUGUAAACAUUUACUUUGAUUAACUUUGUUAUGGAAAAAUAUUUUCGUCAAUCAUAAUGAUUAUAAAAUCAUUUCUUCAUCUUUACUGUGAAAGAGGUAUUGUCAUCAUCUUCAAAUGUUUAUCUUGACAAUUUACCAAAUUACAAGUUCUAAUUCACUGUUAACUAUUAACCUUGAUACCUUAAUUGUUGGAUUGGAUUGUGUUGCUGAUGGUUAAUCUUGUCUCCAUCAAAUCAAUUAAUAAGCUUAUUCAUUUAUCACCAUCAAAAUGAUGAUCGUUUUUUAUUUUCUUCUUCUCCAUCAUCAUAAUUAUCAUCAUUUACCUUUGGAUUGUUAUUUUUUUUUCUUCUUCAUCUUCCUGUUAUUCAUCAUUUCCAAAUGGACAUCAUCAUAAAUCACUUUUCAAACAUUUGUCAUCAAAUGCUGAUUAUCAUUAUCAUGGAAACAACAAUCUACAUGGUUACAGUUACAAUCUCAGACUUUUAGCCCCUUAAGCCUCCAAGAAGAUCAUCAUGAUGACAAUUCAUGAAAAAUAAUAAUUCGUGAUGACUGGUGAACCAGAAAAAAGGACAUUCAAGAGACAGAUCAAUACGAAGAUGAAAAAGAAAACAUGAAUUGAACAAAUUCAAUAAUAGAUUGAUGAUAAAUAAGAAAAAUGAACGAGAGUAAACAUGAUAGAUUCUAAGGUUUCGAUUAUCAAAAAUGAAACAAAAUGGAACGAAAAAAAGAAAAUGAAGGAAAGAUAAAGAGAAUCAGAGAGGUGACGGGAUUGUGCCGUUUUCGAUGGACAUAAAAGCUUACCCAAUGAACGUUUUGUCCG